rnacentral:rRNA from 1 species
GACGUAGGGUGCAAGCGUUGUCCGGAAUUAUUGGGCGUAAAGAGCUCGUAGGCGGUUUGUCGCGUCUGCUGUGAAAACUCGGGGCUUAACUCCGGGCCUGCAGUGGGUACGGGCAGACUAGAGCGCGGUAGGGGAGACUGGAAUUCCUGGUGUAGCGGUGAAAUGCGCAGAUAUCAGGAGGAACACCGGUGGCGAAGGCGGGUCUCUGGGCCGUAACUGACGCUGAGGAGCGAAAGCGUGGGGAGCGAACAGG